AGCCUACAAGAACAAGCAUAAUUAACUUUCAAAUUUGAGAAUGAAAUUCAACUAAAAGACCUUAUAAACCAAAUUACCACAUAUAUCGAAACAUUAACUUAACACCAAGCCAUAAACAACUUAGGUACAUAUAACUAAAAUACAUAUAUACAUACAAAAGAGGCCAUAUAUAGAACAAUAUCAGAUUAAAUUAAUAUCAGCUAGGUAACAAGAUGUUGCUCGAGUUGAGUUCUUGAGUUGGAUGCUUGACCGCUCCUAAUUAUGUCAACUCUCGUCUGAGACCUGUGCACGAAAAUAAACAUGAGUAUUGAAUACUCAAUAAUACUAAUAUAAUUCAAAUACAAUGUAAUAAGGUUAAACUAAAGCACAUAUAUAGAACAAUAUCAAAUACAUUAUUGUAUACUACUUUUAACUCAUCACAUCAUUUUUCAACUUUCUUAUUCAUUUCUUAUUUCAAUAUCAAUUUCAAUUCUUACUCAUUUUGGCCUUUAUUAACUGAUAAUAGACAUUAGGACAGAUACUCGAAUCAAUGUAACGAUUAGUCCACGGCCCUCUGGGAAUUAAGACUAUUUGAUUUUGCCAUCCCGGGUUGCCUGACAACAAUGACUUUUAGUAUUUACCCCAUGACCCUUUAAGAAUUGGGACUGCUCAUGACCCUUUGGGAAUGGGAGCCAGUAAAUCACUGUACUGAUAACCCUAUGGCAUGCCAACUACAUCCGAACUAUAUUUAACAUCGUUUAACGGGACAAUAACAUCACAAUCACCAUUGUAAUACAUGUCAUCAUAAUAUCAAUGUCUCACCAUUGUAAACUUAAAACGUGCAUAAAUUAAAUCAUCUUGAUAUCUAAGUUUUUCCAAGGUUUCCAACAAUGAAACUUAAUUAAAAUUUCAUCAAUUACAAAAUCUAAAAUAUGGUUCACUAAUACCUAACAUCCUUUAUCAAGAAUCUACUAAAAUUUCAAAGGAAGGCUUACCCAAUUCUUGUAUAUAGCUCACGGCAAGGUUGAAAACUUCAACAAUAUUUCUUUCUUUUCUUUCUUUGUGUAGCCGUGUGAAGAAGAAGAUGAAAAUGGUUUUUUUAUCUUUCAUCUUUGCUUUUCUAAUUAUAAAAUAUUUAAUUCAAUAAUAUAACAUCUAACGGCCAUGUUUGUUUUGGUAAUAAUUAGUGGUGAUCAAUGGUGGAGAUCAUAUCUAUCUACUAACUCCAUUUAAUUAUGGGUUAAUUAUAUUCAAGGACUUGAAUAAUUUCCUAAUUCAAUUCUCAUUCAUUUUGACCACUAUGCAAUGUAGUCCCUGUACUUUUAUAAACAACUUAAUUUAUUUAGUUACUAUUUGC
rnacentral:lncRNA from 1 species